rnacentral:rRNA from 1 species
UACGUAGGGUGCAAGCGUUGUCCGGAAUUAUUGGGCGUAAAGAGCUCGUAGGCGGUUCGUCGCGUCGGCUGUGAAAUCCCGAGGCUCAACCUCGGGUCUGCAGUCGAUACGGGCGGACUGGAGUUCGGCAGGGGAGACUGGAAUUCCUGGUGUAGCGGUGGAAAUGCGCAGAUAUCAGGAGGAACACCGGUGGCGAAGGCGGGUCUCUGGGCCGAUACUGACGCUGAGGAGCGAAAGCGUGGGGAGCGAACAGG